rnacentral:rRNA from 1 species
GUCUACGGCCAUACCACUCUGAACGCGCCCGAUCUCGUCUGAUCUCGGAAGCUAAGCAAGGUCAGGCCUGGUUAGUACUUGGAUGGGAGAACUAUAUACACUUAAGGCCAACAAGGCAGACAUGAAUUGGAAGAUA